rnacentral:rRNA from 1 species
GUCUGUGGCCAUACCACCCUGAAUAUGCCUGAUUUCGCCUGAUCUCAGAAGCUAAGCAGGGUCAGGCCUGGUUAGCACUUGGAUGAGCAGAAAUGGUACUCCUUUAU